CCCGGGACGGCGGGCAGAGCGCGGCGGGCUGUGCAGGACCGCGUCUUCUUUCGGAUGCUGGCAAUCGGACGAGUCCCUCCGCUUGCCAGCCCCGUCUCAGCCCCCAGGAAAUGGAGUAAGGGCAGAAAUUACGAGAGAGAGCGACUCCCUCCUCAGGGAAGAAACAUUAGAAGUGCGAACGCGUUUCCUCCGCCAUCAGCUUCUGCGUCCCCCUCUCCAGGCUGGCGGACACAUUUGGAAACUUUGGCUGUAAAACCAAGGCUUUGACUGGAAUGUCAUAUUUGAGAGAAACAUACAGACUCAGAUAGGACAAGACAGCUUUUGAGGAAUAAAGGUUGACUUCCUGGAAUGAAGCCACUUGGAAGUAUUGGCCUGGUACCCUGUUUACAAGGAUUCCAGUAACCUGAAAACACUCCUUAUUAACUACCUGGUUACUUGCUAACACAAUAUAGGCUGAACUUUGGGAGCCCACCUGCAUCACCAUCUUACUAAGAGACUGGUUCAAUGAGAUGGAAACAACCUAUGCCCCUGAUCAGCAGGAUAAUCUCUCAAGAUUGAAGAUGAACAACAAAAGGGGGGAUUGAUACCAGUCAACACAAGGUUGACAUAAGGGAAGCCAUAUUGUAAAAAAGAAACCACAUUGUAACCUUGAAUGACCUCUGAUUAACUAACCCAGACAUGCUUUGUAGAUUUAAUGGACCCUCCCAGCUGCUAUGAGUUGGUAACUUUGUUCUUCUGAGUUCCUUAGGAAUGUGAUGACCCUCAGGAAGAGAGUCUGUGCUGAUGGCCAUCAUCAAUGACAACGGAAAGAUCAGCGUAUAGGCCAUUGCUCUGGUCUCUGAUGCAUAUCCAGUAAAACAAAAGACUAUCAGGACCUGAGACCAGAUGUCUGCCCCACCCAGAGACCAGAUGGAGCCCCCACUGGGAUUAGGUCUAUUUUUCAGGGAUUGUUAAAAUUUGGGUUGUCUAUACUUCUUAUCCUUCUGGUUGGACACAUGAUUAUAAAAUGUGCUUUUCAGAUGUUUUAGAUGUGGAACAAGAUACAAAAUUCUCAUAAUACAAAAACAUCAACAUGAAGCUGGAAACGAGAGUAUUUCCAAAUAAGUGCUAAACAGUUUCAUUUCUUUAGCCCGGAUCUAGGCCCCAAUUCAGCAGGAAGCAGCUAGAUUGGUUGUUGCCCCAAAUCCCUCAAAAAUGAGGAAUGACUAAAGAAUAGCAGAGAUUGAAACCAGCAAACAGCCAUUGAUGAUCAGGUAGCUAGGCACUAAAGUUUUUUCCUUUUGCAGUUACUGAUUAUAGCUUUUAGCUGUUUAACCCACCCACCCACUGUCAACUGUGCUGUUUAGGCAAUAUGUUCUCUGACUCUCGCUAGGCUCCUAUAGAUAGCAUCUCCCUGGAGCCUGGGUCUCCAUGGUAAUGGGUGUGUGAGGUGUUCUUCAGGAAUUAGAACUCCUUGUCCACUCCAGGCCAAUUGAGACCACCAACCCAACUGGGCCCAUUCAGCAGUCUGAGAGGCGACUUUUUGACACCAAGAGGCUAAAAACACCACCCUCAGAUCAUGCUAAUGCUGCCAUUUUGUGAACACGGGUCCUAUGAAGAGGUGUGGAGUCUGACUAUGCUUGCGCAGAUCA
ensembl:lncRNA